AAAUCAUUAUGAGGACACUUUCUCAAGAGUUCUUCAAAUCACUCACAUGCAUCGAAUAAGGAUUCUGCUUCAUAUUAUUGGAAGUAACAUAUCUUUGUCAUAAGCUU